UACACUGCAGAAAUGAUUCAGGAGUGUGUUGGAAAUGAGAGGAAAAGAUACGGAAAUAGAAAGAAAGAUGUCAUCUUAUCAAGACUAAGAAUCGGACAUACGGCAUUAAACUAUAGUCUUUAUAAAAUAGGUAAGCAUGAAUCGGGAAAGUGUGACAAAUGUGGAGAAUUAGAAACAGUGAAACAUAUUAUUGUUGAGUGUUCUGCAUAUGAAAGGGAGAGAUUUCAAUUAAUUCAAGAAUUAGGAUGGCUGGGAGUUGAUAAUAUUUCUUUAAAAGUAUUGUUAGGAAAUGGGUCGAGGCAAUCAAGAGUGCAAGAAAAUAUGUUUAAAUACCUGAAAAACACAGGAACAAUAGA